CACUCCCACUGCUGUCCAGCCCAGGCUGCCCUCUUCCACCCUGCCACCGGCCACUGGGCCUUCUUUUCCCUCCUGCAAUGGAGGCUGCUAUGCCCCACAGACUGGAGAAGGGACUGGAGGGCCAGUAAGUUCCCUCCCCUCAGUAAACACCGGCCCAGGGGUAGGUGUUAAAAU